UGCUUAGCCCUAAACAUAGAUAAUUACCUACUUAUUUUAUCCGCCCGGGAACUACGAGCAUUAGCUUGAAACCCAAAGGACUUGGCGGUGCUUUAGAUCCACCUAGAGGAGCCUGUUCUAGAACCGAUAAUCCCCGUUAAACCUCACCUUUCCUUGUCUUAUUCCGCCUAUAUACCGCCGUCGUCAGCUUACUCUGUGAAGACUAUACAGUGAGCUCAACCGGUACCGCCCAAAACGCCAGGUCGAGGUGUAGCGAAUGGAAAGGGAAGAAAUGGGCUACAUUCAGUAACUAAUACUGAACUACGAAUGAUAUUUUGAAACAAAUAUCUGAAGGAGGAUUUAGUAGUAAGCAGGGAAUAGAGA
rnacentral:rRNA from 1 species